UACUUGAUAUGGGGUCGCGACUGAGCUGGCAUGAUAAAAGCUGGGUCGCGGUGUACAAAGGCUGAGAACCACUGUGCUAGAUGAUAUAGAUGGUGCGUUUCAAAGCUAUUGUAAAACACUGCAACGUUUUAUCAAAAACAGUGUUAAAAUAGUUUUUAUAUAAAAUAGUCUUUAUAUAGUUGGUACUAUAUAAAGAAACAUUUUCAGAAUUAAUACUAAAUCUACGUCUACAUACGGCAACUUUUAUCUGCUUUCAGUAUCAUCUCCCCAAAGCAGCAUACCUCAUUUUUAUUUUAAUCACGACAGCAUAUCGGCAGGUGAACUUAAUCCGUCAACUGAUUAUUGUGCCUGGCAGGGGUGGGAGAGGAAGGCUUAACAAGCUCACAGACUAAGGACAAGCCGGUUUGCUGUGAGGGAAGCCAGCCAAACGCUGAAUCCGGGGACCCUUUCGGCCGUGACCUGCAUGACCCAGCUAGCUUUGGGAACAAAGCCAAGGGGAGAAUUGGAAAGGGGUGACGGACCUGCAGGUUUGCACUGGUGUUCGGAGAGAUGCCUCCGUUAAUGGAACCCAGCUGUCCCUAAUGAGAGAGAUUACCCCGCUGAGGGUUCCAGGUUAACCCUGUGACCCUGCACCAGACAAGCUGGUAUUGAAGAUGGAUAGAUGGAUGGAUGGGUAGAUUAUCCGUCUGUGCAGUCAGCGUAAUGUAAGGAACUGAGCUGUCAGCCGAGGAGGCCGGUUGAUGGUUACUGAACAGCAGCGUACGCCUGGAAAGUUACCCCAGAGGCAAGUCCACCAGUCCGGCACUGGAAGGCAGUCCGUGUGACAGAGCUUCAUUUGAAGUUCACUAACGCACCACACGCUUACUCUCACCUAACCCAUUCCAGCCCACUCUCCCCCAGGGUCUGCGGGUCAAGAAGGAUCGAUCGUAACCUAUAACAAUCUCCC